rnacentral:rRNA from 1 species
CCUACGGGAGGCUGCAGUGGGGAAUAUUGCACAAUGGGCGCAAGCCUGAUGCAGCCAUGCCGCGUGUGUGAAGAAGGCCUUCGGGUUGUAAAGCACUUUCAGCGGGGAGGAAGGCGUUAAGGUUAAUAACCUUGGCGAUUGACGUUACCCGCAGAAGAAGCACCGGCUAACUCCGUGCCAGCAGCCGCGGUAAUACGGAGGGUGCAAGCGUUAAUCGGAAUUACUGGGCGUAAAGCGCACGCAGGCGGUCUGUCAAGUCGGAUGUGAAAUCCCCGGGCUCAACCUGGGAACUGCAUUCGAAACUGGCAGGCUAGAGUCUUGUAGAGGGGGGUAGAAUUCCAGGUGUAGCGGUGAAAUGCGUAGAGAUCUGGAGGAAUACCGGUGGCGAAGGCGGCCCCCUGGACAAAGACUGACGCUCAGGUGCAAAAGCGUGGGGAGCAAACAGGAUUAGAUACCCCGGUAGUC